rnacentral:SRP_RNA from 1 species
UAAUAGCAGCCGGGGUCUCUGCAACGCCCGGAGGGUGAACCCCGCCAGGCCCGGAAGGGAGCAACGGUAAGCCUGAAGGGCGUGUGCAGUAAGGCUCCGGCUCUUAUUUU